GGUUGAUUUAAUUACUUUUCUGUGUUGUUAGAGUAUUAUUAUUUAAUAAAAUAUUUUGUUGUUUUUGUAGAGUUUAUUGAAAGGAUUGAUUUAGUAAUGGUGAUUUAGUACUGUGGAGGUAAUUGUUGAUAUGUUAGUGGAAGUUGAUUUAAUUUGUUGUACCUUGUGUAUCAGGGUGGAUUUAUUAUAUAUUAAAUAAUUUAAUGUUCUCGGUUCUGGAAGAGUUAAUUGAUUGUUAAUUAGUUGAUGUUGAAUAAAUAUUUAUAAUUUUUAGUUGGUAGUGAUAUGUUAUUCGUUUCUGGGUAUAUCUAGUUUCUUGAGAGAAAAAUAUAAUUUUGUAUUGGUUGUUUAUAUUAUCUUUUUGAGGAUAGGGUUUGAAAAAUAUGAAUUGAUGUUUAUAGUGUGGGGGAUAAGCUCUAUAUUAUUAUUAGAAGUAGGUGUGGAGGAAUAUUUAAGAGAUUUAAUGGAUUUAAAGGUGAUUAGUUAUUGGAGGAUGUUUAAAUUAAGUUUAUUUAGUUAUUGAUUUUGGUUUAUUUUAGUUUAUUUAUUGGGAUAAUUGUUUUAAUAGGAUUUAUGAUGUAAUUAUGAUUUAAUUAGUAUAUUUUGUGUAAUAUGUGUGGGAAGUUAGUAUAAGGAAUUAGGCAAAGAUUUUAUAUUCACCUGUUUAUCAAAAACAUCUUUUCUAGAUUGAAUUUGAGAUAUAACCUGCCCACUGAAUUUGUUUUUGAAGGGCCGCGGUAUUUUGACCGUGCAAAGGUAGCAUAAUAAUUUGUCUUUUGAUUGAAGGCUGGAAUGAAUGGUUUGAUGAGAUAUAAUCUGUCUUAUGUUGAUAAUUGGUAUUAGAAUUUAAUUAUUAUGUGAAAAAGCGUGGAUAUUUUUAUGGGACGAGAAGACCCUUUAGAAUUUGAUAAUUUAGUGUUGGUUGUGGUAUAGAUAAUUAUUUUAUAUUAAAUUAUUUUGUUGGGGUGAUGGAAAGAUAUUAAUAACUCUUUUUUUUAAUUAAUGUUUAUGUAUAGUUUUGUGAUCCUUGUUUGUGAGUAUAAGAUUAAAUUACCUUAGGGAUAACAGCGUAAUAUUUAUUGAGAGUUCAAAUUGACAUAGAAGGAUUGCGACCUCGAUGUUGGAUUAAGAUUAAUUUUGGGUGUAGAAGCUUAAUAAUAUUGGGUCUGUUCGACCUUGAAAAUCUUACAUGAUCUGAGUUCAAAUCGGCGUGAGCCAGAUUGGUUUCUAUCUAUAGGAAAAUAUGUAGUAUUUUAGUACGAGAGGACCAAAUACUAGAAAUAAUUUUG
rnacentral:rRNA from 1 species